rfam:Bacillus cereus subsp. cytotoxis NVH 391-98, complete genome.
UUCUUAUAAAGAGAGGCGGAGGGACUGGCCCUAUGAUGCCUCGGCAGCGGACUCGAUUUUGGAGUGCUGUGCCAAAUCCAGCAAGCAUGUGCUUGAAAGAUGAGAA